GAUGAACGCUAGCGGCAGGCCUAAUACAUGCAAGUCGAACGGUGUCUUCGGACAUAGUGGCGCACGGGUGCGUAACACGUAUGCAACCUACCUUACAUUGGGGGAUAGCCUUUCGAAAGGGAGAUUAAUACCGCAUAAGACAGUAGCUGGGCAUCCAGCAGCUGUUAAAGAUUUAUCGAUGUAAGCUGGGCAUGCGUCCAAUUAGCUAGUUGGUGAGGUAACGGCUCACCAAGGCAAUGAUUGGUAGGGGAACUGAGAGGUCAAUCCCCAACACUGGCAUUGAGAUACGGGCCAGACUCCUACGGGAGGCAGCAGUAGGGAAUAUUGGGCAAUGGACGCAAGUCUGACCCAGCCAUGCCGCGUGCAGGAUGAAGGCGUUAUGCGUUGUAAACUGCUUUUAUACAGGAAGAAACGACUCUUGCGAGAGGCAUUGACGGUACUGUAUGAAUAAGCACCGGCUAACUCCGUGCCAGCCGCCGCAGUAAAAC
rnacentral:rRNA from 1 species